rnacentral:rRNA from 1 species
CAGUCGCCGCGGUAAUACGAAGGGGGCUAGCGUUGCUCGGAAUCACUGGGCGUAAAGGGUGCGUAGGCGGGUCUUUAAGUCAGGGGUGAAAUCCUGGAGCUCAACUCCAGAACUGCCUUUGAUACUGUCGAUCUGGAGUAUGGAAGAGGUGAGUGGAAUUCCGAGUGUAGAGGUGAAAUUCGUAGAUAUUCGGAGGAACACCAGUGGCGAAGGCGGCUCUCUGGUCUGUAACUGACGCUGAGGCUCGAAAGCGUGGGGAGCAAACAGGAUUAGAUACCCCCGUAGUCCCUGUCUCUUAUAC